UGCCUACAUCAAAGCCAAAGAUGGUGAAGAAGUGGGUGCCAAUGACUGUAGUCCCGACAUCGAGUGCUAGUCCGAACUAAAGAAUUGAAGAGUCUAACUAUAGACUAUAAAUGAAGCGCUUUGCGGGAGGCAACCCGAUCAUCGAGUCUAGAAUAAGCUACUGGGAGGACAACCCUAGAGUCAUUUGAAGAGUCAAGUAAGUGAGUCGCAGAUUUUGCUACGUCAUACCUGGUGAACAUUUAUUAAGUUGAACCUUCGGUCAAAACAAUAUUUGGAGUUUAAUUCACUCAGUCAUUUUCUAUUCCUCUCUUUUUCAUAAACCAAUGACUUCAGCCAUCCCAAUUUUUAUUUGAUUUUUCUUGAAAAACCAGAACCAUAUAUCCCUAUCCUAUCAGACUUUUCAUCUUGACCAUGAUGUUAAGCCUGACUUGUUUUCAUGAUAAACACACGAGUAGAG
rnacentral:lncRNA from 1 species